CCCUGAUGGCUCAGAUGGUGAAGAAUCUGCCUGCAAUGCAGGAGACUCAGGGUCAAUCCCUGGAUCAGGGA
rnacentral:tRNA from 1 species